ACUCACAGACACACUCACAGACACACACACACACACACUGACACACACUGACACAUACUCACUGACACACACUGACACAUACUCACACACUCAGACACACACACACACUGACACACACACACACUGACACACACACACACUGACACACACACACACACACUCACUCACUGACACACACUCACAGACACACACUGACACAUACUCACACACUCACAGACACACAC